UUCAGCUCCACCUGGUGGAGACUUCUCUGGCGGAAAGCUGGGUAAAGUAUGGUUUGAAAAAAAGAAGUACAAGAAAGUGGGAACGGAGAAUUCAGGUGAUUGGGCUUCUACUUCAGUUGGUACAAAUUUUACUCCCCAUGUCAUCACUGUCAAUGCUGGAGAGGAUGUUACUAUGAAGGUUAUAUCAUUUUCGCAACAAGGACCUCGAGCUAUUUGCAUUCUGUCUGCUAAUGGGGUAAUUUCAAAUGUUACUCUUCGUCAACCAGAUUCUUCUGGGGGUACUUUGACAUAUGAGGGCCGAUUUGAAAUACUUUCUUUGUCUGGAUCAUUUAUGCCUACUGAGAGUCAGGG
rnacentral:misc_RNA from 1 species